GCCCUGGUAGCUCAAUUGGUUAGAGCGUCGGACUUUUACGAUCUAUGAUUGACCGGUGUGCAAUCCGAAGGCUGCGGGUUCGACCCCCGCCUGGGGCG